GUCAGACCCAGAGAAGGCGGACUGGCACAAGCCCUGCCAGGUGAAGCGGUGUCCUUGACCUGCAUGCAGUGAUGGGUUCUGGAAACCAUGCCCUGGGGGACCUGGUGAAUCCCUAAAGAGCAGCUGAGCCACCAGGUGGAGCUGGAGCCUGGAGCCAGGGAGAAGAUAAACAGAGGCCAGGCCCUGGCUUCUGCGGCUGCUUGCUCUGCAGAUGACACUGGGGACGGCCCUCACGGGAGGCAGGGGCAUGGUGGUGAGCCGGUGGAGGGCGGGCUGGAGAUGUGAGGAUGGACGCUGCCUGGCUGGAGGGCUGGUCGGUGAGCAGGCUGGAGGCGGAAGUACAGAGAAGGGCAAGAGGAAGCCGCAGCUGGACAAAAAGCCAGGUGGAGGGGACAACUUGAAGAGUAUCAGAGAACAUAGGAGGGGAGCUCAGGGAAGAGACAGCCAGGAAAGAAUUGGGAACCAGCCCCCCAGUCUGCAGCCAUGACACCCUGAGACGUGGGACACAGUCCAGUGUGGAGGGUGGCCAGAGGCAGUCCUGGAUGUUGCUUUCUCUUCCUCUUUGUCUGGCCCCAAAGAGCUCUGCCCUCAAGGCUGCAGGGCCCCAUGGAGCUGCUGUGAAACCCCAUUUCCUCUCCAUUCAGUGACAAAGUCCCUCCCCUCAGACUUUCUGACUUUUGUCCCACAUCCUGAGCGUUUCUAGGCCAGAACCCUUAGCCACCAGGAUCACAGAAGCCUGCUGGCCCCAUAGCUCCAAGCAAGCAGAAACGCUAAUUGGCAUUAACAGAGACCAGACCCGCGGCUCACAAAAGAUCCCCUCUUCCUGACCAGAGCCAUGCCUGGGGCGCAGCCAGCCUGCUGGCUUCGGGUGUCUGCUAGUGGGGGAGGGGGACCUUGUGGGUAGAAGAGGACAGGAGUAGGGCGACCCAUGGCCGUCCCCUCACCCAAGGCUCUUCUGCACUCAGCAAGAGGCCAGCCCUCCUUCCUGCCCCUCAUCACAACUCCUCAGGCCCUGCAGUGCACAUUAAAGGCUUUGCCUCUCAAAGCCUGCCCUAUAUGCUUAUUUUAAUCUAAUCUCACUUGGAACAAAAAGCUCAGAAGCCAGACUGCCUGUGUUGAUGUCCCUGUAUCACAGCUUAACGCGUGUGACCUUGGACAAAAAACCGGGUGCCUCUGUUUUCCUGUCUGUGAAAAGGGAAUCAUAUUUUCUACUUUGCUGGGCCGUUGUGAAGAGUAAAUGCUAACCACAAAGAGCUCCUAGAGCAGAACUGCUUGCAGAAACCAUUCAUUCAAUAAAAGCUAAUCGCAUUUAGAUGAUUAUGAGUCUAUUUCUUGGGCUCAGUUCUCUCUGUUGUAGGAAGUUCCUGUUCCCAGACUUUCAGAGAAUAGAAUGCAACAGGCACUCCAGAGAAGUUUCUUGAACAGAUGCAAGGAAGGAAGGGAGAGGGGGAAGGGUGAGUGAGUAUAUUUAUCACAAAUAAAACCAG
rnacentral:lncRNA from 1 species